GCCGGGCGUUGUGGCGGGCGUCUGUGGUCCCAGCUACUUGGGAGGCAGAGGCAAGAGACUCGCUUGAGCCCAGGAGUUGGAGGUUGCUGUGAGCUGUAAUGCCACGGCACUCUACCCAGGGGGACAGCUUGAGGCUCUGUCUCAAAAAAAAAAAAAAAAGAGACACAGUCUUAAUUUUUCACCCUCGGUAGAGUACCGUAGUGUCACAGCUCACAGCAACAUCCAACUCUUGGGCUUAGGUGAUGCUCUUGCCUCAG
rfam:Otolemur garnettii contig012379, whole genome shotgun sequence.